ACCGGGAACACCUACAUUUCUCCUAAUGACUUGAGGAAGCACUUGGAGAGAGAUGCAGUUGGGAUACCUUGAUUGUAGCUAAGUGAUCCCCAGCUGGAUGUUCGUCCUAUGCAAUUAUAAGACGAUGAGUCUCUGCUGGUUUGGGGUAAGAUGUUAAUGUGGAGUUACUGAUUUGAAGAAUGAAUGCCUUUGGAAUGUGUACCUGGCAGAGCAGUUGUGGAAUUCUGCACUCUCAGCAGUGAGGAGUGGGAGUCUCCUGCCUCUGUACUGUCAAGCUUCUCAAGUUCUAUCGGUGUGAUAGUUCUUAGCAGGUAUACAUUCCACGAACACUCUCUGCCAUGUGCUCCCGGAAGAGGAAAAAAAUAAGGGGGCGGUGCUGAGGAGAAAAGGAACGGUUUUCAGCUAUCUUCCCCCAAAUGUGCCCUUUGAAAGCUGCUCAUCCCGUGAACUCCACCCAGAUUCUCAUCUUGAGGCUGUGGUGGAGACUAUGCCCAAAUGGAGAGUCCAGAAAUGACAGCAGACAAUCUCAAAGCAAAACUGUGGAGAAUUUCAGGAAAACCACAGCAGAGCCUUCAAUCAAGUGUGGGGCCUUCUCGUCACAGACUCUGGAGUACUUACCGCAUUGGCAGCGUGACCAUGAAAUUUACCCUGUGGGUGAUUAACAACUACCGGUUUACACAAACUUGUGAGUAACUAGUCAUGGGAUCUAGUGAAAAUAUUUUAAAUGAUGAAAACUCAUAACUUCUGCUUGCUUAUUUUUAAAAUUAUAUUUCAUUACAUAGGACAUCCCAUUACCAAUCAUUUCUGAAAAUACGUCGCCCCCAGCCCACUAAAUUUCCUAACGUGUACAUUCAUUCCAGAGAAAUGCACCACUGGCUAAGUCUUGAAAAUGUCUUAGUUACAAAAAACUUCUGAAGUAAACAACACUCCCCUCUGCCUGAUUCAGCUUAUAGUUCUGGACUCGUAAGCCACUAUGUCCACUUGGCAAUUUGAAAUCAGAAACAACUUGUGUUACAGCUGAGUUUUCCUUCCUUCUGAGGACGUGGAGUCAACCUCAGAUGAUCACGCAAACAUUUGUGUGUACAGUGUUUGCCCAAGAUGCAACACAUGGAAGCACACAGGAAACACACAGGAAUCUGGCCGUAGAAGCAGAAAGAGUGCAACAGAGGGAGAGAACAA